GCGGGUUUGCUCGUGGUGAGCUAACAGCCUUCCAAGCUGCCAAGGCCGGUUCGACCCCGGCAACCCGCUCCA
rnacentral:tRNA from 2 species